GGGAUUUUUUGCCCUGAGACACCAGCCAGUCGCUCAUGUGCUCCGUGGUGACAUGGUGCGGGACCUGGCCUUGACUCUGGAGCAGCAGAUAGUGGACCAUGAGCUUCUUCUGCAAGAUGAGGCCUGCAGAGUCUGGAAAUAAAGGCUGCUUCUGCAGAAUUCCUUUGAAGAGAAUGACAAUAAUGAUGCUUUGUUAUGCACAUUGUGCACAGGCAUUUACAGUAUGCUAAAAUGAAUAUCUCCAAAGAUUACCUUUGUGGGACCAUAAGUGAACUCCGGAAUGCACCAAACCCUAUCCAUGGUAAGAUGGGGUAGAAACGCAGCGCUAUAGAUAUACGAGAUGCUCUAGAGAUAACAGGAAUAAGUUAAUGUCGCGAAUGAUCAAUUACUGUGGAGUCGUCCAAUAUGCUGCACUUAGAAUUGAGUUGUAGGCAAUGUUUGGCACGAAAUAGAAUGUUUACAUUCUAUUGCUAUGGAGAAAUGGAAUGUGUAGAACCUUUAUAAAUGGGUCUGCUUCUAUGUCUUUAUGUCGUGAAGAUUAAGCUCUUUAUUGUGUCAUAAUGUGUAUAUUGUAAUUUGUAUAUUGGAUUGGAACCUAUUUCGAUUCAUGACGCGAGUAUCCAGCUACAUGUUGCUUAGACCUACUAAUCCAACCUUGGUUUACAAGUGAAAUUAAUUGUUUACCAAUGCCUAUACAAAUAUAUUAACCGUAACUAUUUAAAGGAAGGAUUGUCAAUUGAAAAUGUGGUUGUUGUGUUACCCUGUUGUGUCAGUCCUCUUAAGCACGUUAUUCCAAUAUUUCAGAGCUCUGAAUUGAGAUAAGGUUCACUUGCAACGCUAAUUGGUUAAAAAUAAGAGUAUCAAUGACACUAAACGUAUGACUUGGAUGUAAUGCAUAAUAGUUUAGUAAAAAAGUAUCGCUCAGCGUGGGAACUUUUGCUGGGUGGGGGAAGUAUACUAUAAAUGUCUCCAUGUCGCGUAUGGACCAUCACUUCGUUGUCUUGUUGGUAAUAUAAAAAUGCAUGACAGUCCGCAUUGUAAUAGUCUAACAGUUGUUUUUCAUUUUGUUUCUCACAUUAAACAGACAUUUGAAAACGGAA